AGCUCCAGUAGCGUAUAUUAAUGUUGUUGCAGUUAAAAAGCUCGUAGUUGGAUUUCUAGUCGACAUGCGUGGUCCGCUGCGUUUAACGCACGUGAGUACCGCAGUCGUGUCGCCUAUCCUAUCAGUUUGUCGCGGGCUCCGGCCCCGGCUGACUGGUUCUUUUACUUUGAAAAAAUUAGAGUGUUUAAAGCAGGCUUGCGCAAUGAAUACAUUAGCAUGGAAUAAUGACAUAGGACUUCGGUCUCUAUUUUGUUGGUUUCUAGAACUGAAGUAAUGAUUGAUAGGGAUAGUUGGGGGUGCUAGUAUUGAGCGGCCAGAGGUGAAAUUCUCGGAUUCGCUCAAGACUAACUUAUGCGAAAGCAUUCACCAAGGAUGUCUUCUUUAAUCAAGAACGAAAGUA
rnacentral:rRNA from 1 species